rnacentral:rRNA from 1 species
GUUUCUCUGGUUGGCGGCGAUUCCUUGGGCGUGGGCGCACGAAGGACGACGAGGCGCCGGCGGUUGGAGGCAGAGGGCGGCGUCGGGGCCAAGGGGACAUGGAAGGCUAGCACCGAGGCAUGGCAGCGGCGCGGCUUGGCGGAGCCAGGAGCGAACGAAGGUAGGAGAGGCUGUGAGGGGGGUUCAAGCACGAGGCAUCUCGCCUCUGUGUGUGCGGCGGCGCGAG